rnacentral:rRNA from 1 species
UGGGGAAUAUUGCACAAUGGGGAAACCCUGAUGCAGCCACCCCGCGUGAGCGAAGAAGGGUUUCGAAUCGUAAAGCCCCGUCCUAUGGGAAGAUAAUGACGGUACCAUAGGAGGAAGCCCCGGCUAACCACGUGCCAGCAGCCGCGGUAAUACGUAGGGGGCAAGCGUUGUCCGGAAUCACUGGGCGUAAAGGGUUCGCAGGCGGAAAUGCAAGUCAGUUGUGAAAGGCAGAGGCUCAACCUCUGUAAGCAAUUGAAACUGUAUUUCUUGAGAUGUGGAGAGGCAAGUGGAAUUCCUAGUGUAGCGGUGAAAUGCGUAGAUAUUAGGAAGAAUACCGGUGGCGAAGGCGACUUGCUGGACACAAACUGACGCUGAGGAACGAAAGCGUGGGUAGCAAACAGG